rnacentral:rRNA from 1 species
AGUGAACGCUGGCGGUGGGCCUAACACAUGCCAGUCGAACGGCAGCACAGUAAGAGCUUGCUCUUACGGGUGGCGAGUGGCGGACGGGUGAGGAAUACAUCGGAAUCUACUUUUUCGUGGGGGAUAACGUAGGGAAACUUACGCUAAUACCGCAUACGACCUACGGGUGAAAGCAGGGGAUCUUCGGACCUUGCGCGAUUGAAUGAGCCGAUGUCGGAUUAGCUAGUUGGCGGGGUAAAGGCCCACCAAGGCGACGAUCCGUAGCUGGUCUGAGAGGAUGAUUAGCCACACUGGAACGGAGACACGGUCCAGACUCCUACGGGAGGCAGCAGUGGGGAAUAUUGGACAAUGGGCGCAAGCCUGAUCCAGCCAUACCGCGUGGGUGAAGAAGGCCUUCGGGUUGUAAAGCCCUUUUGUUGGGAAAGAAAAGCAGCAGGUUAAUACCCCGCUGUUCUGACGGUACCCAAAGAAUAAGCACCGGCUAACUUCGUG